rnacentral:rRNA from 1 species
GACGAACGCUGGCGGCGUGCCUAAUACAUGCAAGUAGAACGCUGAAACUUGGUGCUUGCACCGAGCGGAUGAGUUGCGAACGGGUGAGUAACGCGUAGGUAACCUGCCUGGUAGCGGGGGAUAACUAUUGGAAACGAUAGCUAAUACCGCAUAAGAGUAGAUGUUGCAUGACAUUUUCUUAAAAGGUGCAAUUGCACCACUACCAGAUGGACCUGCGUUGUAUUAGCUAGUUGGUGGGGUAACGGCUCACCAAGGCGACGAUUCAUAGCCGACCUGAGAGGGUGAUCGGCCAAACUGGGACUGGGACACGGCCCAGGACUCUUCGGGAGGCAGCAGUAGGGGAUCUUCGGGAAUGGACGGAAGGCUGGACGGGCAACGGCGCGUGAGUGAAGAAGGUUUUCGGAUCGUAAAGCUCUGUUGUAAGGGAAGAAAGAGAGUGAGAGUGAAAAGUUCACAUUGUGACGGUAUCUUACCAGAAAGGGACGGCUAACUACGUG